rnacentral:rRNA from 1 species
GACGUAGGGCGCGAGCGUUGUCCGGAUUUAUUGGGCGUAAAGAGCUCGUAGGCGGCUUGUUGCGUCGACUGUGAAAACCCGCGGCUUAACUGCGGGCUUGCAGUUGAUACGGGCAGGCUAGAGUUCGGUAGGGGAGACUGGAAUUCCUGGUGUAGCGGUGAAAUGCGCAGAUAUCAGGAGGAACACCGGUGGCGAAGGCGGGUCUCUGGGACGGUACUGACGCUGAGGAGCGAAAGCGUGGGGAGCGAACAGG